rnacentral:rRNA from 1 species
UACGAAGGGGGCUAGCGUUGCUCGGAAUCACUGGGCGUAAAGGGUGCGUAGGCGGGUCUUUAAGUCAGGGGUGAAAUCCUGGAGCUCAACUCCAGAACUGCCUUUGAUACUGAGGAUCUUGAGUUCGGGAGAGGUGAGUGGAACUGCGAGUGUAGAGGUGAAAUUCGUAGAUAUUCGCAAGAACACCAGUGGCGAAGGCGCUCACUGGCCCGAUACUGACGCUGAGGCACGAA